AUUGAACGCUGGCGGCAGGCCUAACACAUGCAAGUCGAACGAGUGGCGGACGGGUGAGUAAUGUCUGGGAAACUGCCUGAUGGAGGGGGAUAACUACUGGAAACGGUAGCUAAUACAGCAUACCAUCAGAUGUGCCCCGAUGGGAUUAGCUAGUUGGUGGGGUAACGGCGCCCCAAGGCAACGAUCCCUAGCUGGUCUGAGCGGAUGACAAGCCACACUUGAACUGAGACACGGUCCAGACUCCUACGGUAGGCAGCAGUGGGGAAUGUUGCACAAUGGGAGCAAGCCUGAUGCAGCCAUGCCGCGUGUAGGAAGAAGGCCUUCGGGUUGUAAAGUACUUUCAGCGGGGAGGCGUUACCCGCAGAAGAGGCACCGGCUAACUCCGUGCCAGCAGCCGCGGUAAUUC
rnacentral:rRNA from 1 species